UUGUCACUUUACAAUUUGCCAAAAUGUAACACAUUCAAACAUAUGUAUUAUUGUGUUCGUUGCUUCUCCACAUCUCCCGCAUCACUUGACUAGGAAUGCCCAACGGCAUUUCAUCUU
ensembl:ncRNA F15G9.7 ncRNA